AUUGAACGCUGGCGGCAGGCCUAACACAUGCAAGUCGAGCGAGCGGCGGACGGGUGAGUAAUGUAUGGGGACUGCCCGAUAGAGGGGGAUAACUACUGGAAACGGUAGCUAAUACCGCAUACUAUCGGAUAACCCAUAUGGGAUUGGCUAGUAGGUGAGGUAAUGGCUCACCUAGGCGACGAUCCCUAGCUGGUCUGAGAGGAUGAUCAGCUGCACGGGACCUGAUACACGGCCCUGGCUCCGAGGUGGGCAGAGAUGUGAAAUAUUGCACAGUGGGCGCAAGCCGGAUGCAGCCAUGACGCGUGUAUGAAGCAAACCCUUGGGUUAUAAAGUACUUUCAGUCGGGAGGCGUUACCGACAGAAGAAGCACCGGCUACCUCCGUGCCAGCAGCCGCGGUAAUAC
rnacentral:rRNA from 1 species